UUUAUGUCUUUCCUCUCUUGGACAUCAUCAAACCUUUGCCUUCUUAUUUUUUCUCAGGGUGCUGCUCGCAAAUUAGCUACACAGAGAAAGAAUAUAGAGGUCGUUGAAUCUGUUGGUGUAGCAGCGAAGCGAGUGAAGCUGCCAGCCUAUUUAAUUAAAAAAGAAGGGAUCUUGCACUUUUAUUAAAACACGACCAGCAGCAACAGCGACUAGCGUUCCCUUUUCAACUUCAACAGAGAUUCAGUGGCAACAGGUAUGUGAUGAUUUCUUCCUCCUCCUUCUUCUUCUUCUUCUUAUUCUUCUUCAGCGUCCAAAUAGCAGUGAAAUACUGGCGAAUUUUUUUUUACCUUCGAUUCUUCUUUCUAAGUCUUCUCCUCUUCGCUAAAAUGCUGCCUAGUUCUUCUUUCAUUGUUUUUAUGCCGCCCAGUUUUAACAGAAUGGUAUAUUGCCCUUCCUCUGAAUAUCAUAAGGAGGUUCAACUUCGGAAUUCAUGGUUAGGAGCAGUUUUCUAAGUAUUUCCCACUGAUGAUAUGUAUCUAUUAAGUUAUUAUUUUCUGGGGGUGAACUGGGGUGCAAAAGACACUAUUCAUUACUAACUAGUAAAGGGCUGCAAGAUGAACUAGGGUGCAAAAGGCACAAUUUCUCAGUUGAAAAGGCUACCUAAAUGCACAACCACAGGGCCUUUGAGCUUACUAAUCCCAAAAGCUGGUGUACAUAUCAGAAAGGUGAAAAAGCUACAAGUAUGCUUAAAAAAAGUGGCUUUUAAGUAUAAGGGCUUAAAAGCACUUUUUAAGUGCUGGAG
rnacentral:lncRNA from 1 species